CCGCAAUAGCCGCAGGCAUCAGUGCGGCUGGAAAGAGCAUCGUCGGAGUUUCAGAAUCCGACGAUCAGGUAGGCCACUUGGGCCAGUCGCCCUGUCUUCCCCGGAAAGGGGAAGCAAAAGGCGGAGAGCCCUCCAUCCGAUCACGAUUCCACCCCCGGAGGGUCCCUACCUUUGUUCCACCAAAAGAUCCUCGAGACUCGCAAUCGAGAGGACCUCCUGGAUCAAAGAUUCCAGGAGA
rnacentral:lncRNA from 1 species